AUAAAGAUGGCAGAAAAAGUGCAUUAGGUUUAAGCCCUAAAUAUAAAGAUUAAUACUCUUUUCUUUAUA
rnacentral:tRNA from 1 species